rnacentral:rRNA from 1 species
AGAGUUUGAUCAUGGCUCAGAGCGAACGUUAGCGGCAGGCCUAACACAUGCAAGUCGCGCGAGAACAGGGCUUCGGCCCCCAGUAAAGCGGCGGACGGGUGAGUAACACGUGGGUAAUGUGCCCUUCGGCGGGGGACAACAGUUCGAAAGGGCUGCUAAUACCGCAUACGUCGGUCGGUGCUUCGGCACUGAUCGGGAAAGAUGGCCUCUCCAUGGAAGCUAUCGCCGAUUGAGCAGCCCGCGACCCAUCAGCUUGUUGGCGGGGUAACGGCCCACCAAGGCUAAGACGGGUAGCUGGUCUGAGAGGAUGAUCAGCCACACUGGAACUGAGACACGGUCCAGACUCCUACGGGAGGCAGCAGUGGGGAAUAUUGGGCAAUGGGCGAAAGCCUGACCCAGCCAUGCCGCGUGAGUGAUGAAGGCCCUCGGGUCGUAAAGCUCUGUGGGGAGGGACGAACCAGUUCGGGGCAAAUACCCCCGAGCUCUGACGGUACCUCCUUAGCAAGCACCGGCUAACUCCGUGCCAGCAGCCGCGGUAAUACGGAGGGUGCAAACGUUGCUCGGAAUCAUUGGGCGUAAAGCGCGCGUAGGCCGCCUGUCAUGUCGGGUGUGAAAGCCCUGGGCUCAACCCAGGAAGUGCAUUCGAAACUGCAGAACUUGAUUAUGGGAGAGGGUCGCGGAAUUCCCGGUGUAGAGGUGAAAUUCGUAGAUAUCGGGAGGAACACCAGUGGCGAAGGCGGCGACCUGGACCAAUACUGACGCUGAGGUGCGAAAGCGUGGGGAGCAAACAGGAUUAGAUACCUGGGUAGUCCACGCCGUAAACGAUGAAUGCUAGAUAUCGGGGGUAUUGACCCCUCCGGCGCCGUAGCUAACGCAUUAAGCAUUCCGCCUGGGGAGUACGGCCGCAAGGCUAAAACUCAAAGGAAUUGACGGGGGCCCGCACAAGCGGUGGAGCAUGUGGUUUAAUUCGACGCAACGCGAAGAACCUUACCUGGGUUAAAUCCGCCAGAAUCCGGCAGAGAUGUCGGAGUGCCCUUCGGGGAAUCGGCGAGACGGUGCUGCAUGGCUGUUGUUAGCUCGUGUUGUGAGAUGUUGGGUUAAGUCCCGCAACGAGCGCAACCCUUGCCCUUAGUUGCCAGCGGGUUAUGCCGGGAACUCUAGGGGGACUGCCCCGGAAAGACGGAUGAAGGUGGGGAUGACGUCAAGUCCUCAUGGCCCUUAUGUCCCGGGCUACACACGUGCUACAAUGGACGGUACAGAGGGGCGCAAUACCGCGAGGUGGAGCAAAUCCCAAAAAACCGUCCUCAGUUCGGAUUGCAGUCUGCAACUCGACUGCAUGAAGUCGGAAUCGCUAGUAAUCGCGGAUCAGCACGCCGCGGUGAAUACGUUCCCGGGCCUUGUACACACCGCCCGUCAAGUCAACCGAGUCGGAUGCACUCGAAGAGGGUUGCCUAACCGUAAGGAGGGCGCUCUUUAAGGAGUGACUGGUAACUGGGGUGAAGUCGUAACAAGGUA